UGCCAGCCGCCGCGGUAAUACGGGGGGUGCAAGCGUUGCUCGGGAUUACUGGGCGUAAAGCGCACGCAGGCGGCGUGCCAGGUCGGAUGUGAAAGCCCGGGGCUCAACCCCGGAACUGCAUUCGAAACCGGCAUGCUAGAGUUCGAGAGAGGGUGGUGGAAUUCCUGGUGUAGAGGUGAAAUUCGUUGAUAUCAGGAGGAACACCGGCGGCGAAGGCGGCCACCUGGCUCGAUACUGACGCUCAUGUGCGAAAGCGUGGGGAGCAAACAGGAUUAGAUA
rnacentral:rRNA from 1 species